rnacentral:rRNA from 1 species
UCUUCUCCUAGGUGAACAUGCGGAAGGAUCAUGACGAAGAGCCAGCCCGAAGGGGAGACCUCCCACCCUUGUGUAUUAUUACUUUGUUGCUUGGGCGAGCUGCCUUCGGGCCUAGAAUGCUCGCCAGAGAACACCAAAACUCUUUUUAUUAAUGUAGUCCGAGUACUAUAUAAUAGUUAAAACUUUCAACAACGGAUCUCUUGGUUCAGGCAUCGAUGAAGAACGCAGCGAAAUGCGAUAAGUAAUGUGAAUUGCAGAAUUCAGUGAAUCAUCGAAUCUUUGAACGCACAUUGCGCCCCUUGGUAUUCCGGGGGGCAUGCCUGUUCGAGCGUCAUUUCAACCCUCAAGCUUAGCUUGGUAUUGAGUCUAUGUCAGUAAUGGCAGGCUCUAAAAUCAGUGGCGGCGCCGCUGGGUCCUGAACGUAGUAAUAUCUCUCGUUACAGGUUCUCGGUGUGCUUCUGCCAAAACCCAAAUUUUUAUAUGGUGACCUCGAACCAGGUAGGGAGAACCGCUGAACUUAAGCAUAUCAAAUGGGGAAGAAAACG